rnacentral:tRNA from 1 species
AAUGGGGUAGUCUAAUUAUGAAGAUAUUGGAUUGUAGCUCUAAUGAUGAGAAUAAAUCUCUCCCAUGA